UACGGGGGGAGCAAGCGUUGUUCGGAUUUACUGGGCGUAAAGGGCGCGUAGGCGGCGUAACAAGUCACUUGUGAAAUCUCCGGGCUUAACCCGGAGCGGCCAAGUGAUACUGUUGUGCUAGAGUGCGGAAGGGGCUACUGGAAUUCUCGGUGUAGCGGUGAAAUGCGUAGAUAUCGAGAGGAACACCUGCGGCGAAGGCGGGUAGCUGGGCUGACACUGACGCUGAGGCGCGAAAGCUAGGGGAGCGAACGGG
rnacentral:rRNA from 1 species